rnacentral:rRNA from 1 species
UACGUAGGGUGCGAGCGUUAAUCGGAAUUACUGGGCGUAAAGCGUGCGCAGGCGGUUCGUUAAGUUCGUUGUGAAAGCCCCGGGCUCAACCUGGGAAUGGCAAUGGAAACUGGCGAGCUUGAGUGUGGCAGAGGGGGGUGGAAUUCCGCGUGUAGCAGUGAAAUGCGUAGAGAUGCGGAGGAACACCGAUGGCGAAGGCAGCCCCCUGGGCCAACACUGACGCUCAUGCACGAAAGCGUGGGGAGCAAACAGG